rnacentral:rRNA from 1 species
CCUACGGGAGGCAGCAGUGAGGAAUAUUGGUCAAUGGGCGCUAGCCUGAACCAGCCAAGUAGCGUGAAGGAUGACUGCCCUAUGGGUUGUAAACUUCUUUUAUAUGGGAAUAAAGUGCAGUAUGUAUACUGCUUUGCAUGUACCUUAUGAAUAAGGAUCGGCUAACUCCGUGCCAGCAGCCGCGGUAAUACGGAGGAUCCGAGCGUUAUCCGGAUUUAUUGGGGUUAAAGGGAGCGUAGGCGGGUUGUUAAGUCAGUUGUGAAAGUUUGCGGCUCAACCGUAAAAUUGCAGUUGAUACUGGCAGCCGUGAGUACAGUAGAGGUAGGCGGAAUUCGUGGUGUAGCGGUGAAAGGCUUAGAUAUCACGAAGAACUCCGAUUGCGAAGGCAGCCUGCUGGACUGUAACUGACGCUGAUGCUCGAAAGUGUGGGUAUCAAACAGGAUUAGAUACCCUAGUAGUC